rnacentral:rRNA from 1 species
UUUUAUAAGAAAUAAUUAAUAAUAAAAUCUGCUCAAUGAAUAUUAAAUAGCCGCAUAAUCUGUGCUAAGGUAGCAUAAUAAUUUGUUUUUUAAAUGAAAACUAGAACAAAAGAUUUAACAUUUCAAAAAAUUUUUUAAAUUUAAUUUUCUAAAUUAUUCUAAAUGUUAAAAAACAUUUUAUAAAAAAGAAAGACGACAAGACCCUAUUGAACUUAACUACAGUUAAACUGGGGCAGUUAAUUAUUUAUAAUUUUAAUUAACUUAUUUAUAUUAAAUAUCCAAUAAAAUUGAUUUUUAAUUAAUGUUACCAUAGGGAUAACAGCGUUAUUUUAUUCUAAAGUCCUUAUAUAAAAAAUAGAUUGCGACCUCGAUGUUGAAUAAUUACCUAAUUUUUAAAGUAAAAGUUAAUAAAGGAAGUCUGUUCGACUUUUAAAAAAUUACA